rnacentral:rRNA from 1 species
UACGUAGGGUGCAAGCGUUGUCCGGAAUUAUUGGGCGUAAAGAGCUCGUAGGCGGUCUGUCGCGUCGGCUGUGAAAACUCGGGGCUCAACUCCGAGCCUGCAUUCAAUACUGGCGGGCUAGAGUUCUGGAGGGGAUAGCGGAAUUCCUGGUGUAGCGGUGAAAUGCGCAGAUAUCAGGAGGAACACCGGUGGCGAAGGCGGGUCUCUGGGCCGAUACUGACGCUGAGGAGCGAAAGCGUGGGGAGCGAACAGG